AUGGCAAAAUACUGGUGGAGCAGUUCCAUUGAUCACAAAUCUCUACACUGGAUAGACCGGAAGUCUUUGUCACUUCCUAAACCCAAAGGAGGAAUGGGUUUCCGAGACUUGGAAUGUUUCAAUAUUGCGCUAUUGGGCAAACAUGGCUGGAGAUUAAUGACAAACCCGGAGUCCUUGUGCUCUAGGUUUUUAAAAGGCCACUACUUUCCAACUACUGACUUCAUGAAUGCAUGUGUGCCACGAAACGCUUCUGCGACAUGGAGGGGAAUCAUGGUUGGGAGGAGUGCACUUGAAGCUGGCUUGUUAUGGCGUAUUUGUGAUGGCACUUCCGUGAAAAUUUGGACUGAUCGGUGGCUACUUGGAAAGCUAUCUAUGCAGCCUUCAGUUCAGAUUGGGAGUGAUAAUCUUCAUACGGUUUCAGACCUUAUUGAUACAGAGAACUGGAGCUGGAAACUUGAUCUUAUUCGGAGUAAUUUCACACCACCGGACGCCGAUGCAAUUUUGAAUCUUCCGCUCAGGCAAGGUGGGGGUGACGACUUCUGGGCAUGGGCUCAUGAGAGGUCGGGAUCCUAUAAUGUAAAAUCUGUGUAUCGUGCUCUAAUGACUCGCAACGAGCAUUUAUCUCUAGAGGAAGGGACGAUUACGGAAACUUAUGAGAAUGACAAACAGUUAUGGACUCAACUAUGGAAGCUCAAGGUGCUACCCAAGCUCCGUGUCUUCUGGUGGCGGGUUCUCCAUGGCAUCUUGCCGGUUGAAUCAACACUGAGACACAUGCACAUUGCAACUAUGGCCCGAUGA
rnacentral:rRNA from 1 species